AAAGAAUUAGUUAAAUAAAAUAACCUAAAUUUGUCAAAUUUAAAUCAUAUAAUUAGAUAUAUUCUUUA
rnacentral:tRNA from 1 species